GGACUACCCGGGUUUCUAAUCCUGUUUGCUCCCCACGCUUUCGCACCUCAGCGUCAAUAUCUGACCAGGUCGCCGCCUUCGCCACUGGUAUUCCUCCCGAUAUCUACGAAUUUCACCUCUACACCGAGAAUUCUGCGACCCUCUCCAGUAUUCAAGCCCUGCAGUUUCGAAUGCACUUCCUUGGUUAAGCCGAGGGAUUUCACAUCCGACGUACAGGGCCGCCUACGUGCGCUUUACGCCCAAUGAUUCCGAGCAACGUUUGCACCCUCCGUAUUACCGCGGCUGCUGGCAC
rnacentral:rRNA from 1 species